rnacentral:rRNA from 1 species
AUGUCGUUCGCCGGCGUCUCUAUCACCCGCUACGCUGGUGACACCGCCACCGGCCACGCCGUCGACGUCUCCACGGCCAGCGGGUACCACCUGUUUGUGGUCACCGAUUAUUACUUGCGUACGAAAGCCUCUGUGCCUCCUGGCAAGGCGAUCGCGUCUCUCCCUUUCACGGUAGGAGGCCGCCGUUGGUCCAUCCGCUGCUUCCCUAACGGCGACACCUCGGAAAGCAGCCAAUACAUCUCUCUCUAUCUGCACCUUGUCGAUAAAGAUGUCACAGAGGCUGUGAAGGUGCACUACUCCUUUAGCUUCGUCGACGAGGUUGAAAACCAAGGCCCCGCAUGUGUUCGAGCCAAAAAGGCACACGAUUUCUCCAGCUGCCAUGCGACAUGGGGCCAUAAGUAUUUUUGGAAAAGAGACGACCUCGAGAAGUCAAGUCAUCUCAAGGGCAAUUGCUUCACCAUCCGAUGCGACCUCGCCGUCGCCACCACGUUUGAUCGCUUCAUCACGGUGCCGCCUUCCAGCAUACAACGGCAUAUCAUGAACCUCCUCCUGUCCAAGGAGGGCACCGACGUGACGUUCAGCGUCGGCGGCGAGACGAUCGUCGCGCACCGGUGCGUGCUUGCCGCUCGGUCUUCGGUCUUCAAGGCAGAGCUCUUUGGCCCCAUGAUGGAAGGCACGGUAGCAAGCGUCAUACAAAUAGAAGACAUGGAGGCGAGAGUGUUUAGGGCAUUGCUUAGCUUUAUUUACACCGACUCGUUACCCGACAUAGAGGUCGACAACGUGGAGGAAAGAGAAGCCCAAGAAUUAUUGUGGCUGCAGCAUUUGCUUGCAGCGGCAGAUAGAUACGAUCUCCAAAGGCUGAAGGUACUAUGUGAAGAAAAGUUAUGCAAACACAUAGCCGUGAGCUCGGUCAGAACUAUUUUUAUUCUAGCUGAGCGGCACAGCUGUGGUGGACUGAAGGAGGUAUGCCUUGAGUUCCUCAAGACACCGUCUAAUUUGAAAGAGAUAACGGCGGCUGAAGUCUUCGACGACAUAAUUAGUACAUGCCCCUAUCUUUUAAAGGAGCUCAUUGCCAAGUUUGCUUCCUAA